rnacentral:rRNA from 1 species
UACGGGGGGGGCAAGCGUUGUUCGGAAUUACUGGGCGUAAAGGGCUCGUAGGUGGCCAACUAAGUCAGACGUGAAAUCCCUCGGCUUAACCGGGGAACUGCGUCUGAUACUGGAUGGCUUGAGUUUGGGAGAGGGACGCGGAAUUCCAGGUGUAGCGGUGAAAUGCGUAGAUAUCAGGAGGAACACCGAUUGCGAAGGCAGCUCGCUGGGACGUUACUGACGCUGAGACGCGAAAGCGUGGGGAGCAAACAGG